rnacentral:rRNA from 1 species
GACGAACGCUGGCGGCGUGCCUAAUACAUGCAAGUAGAACGCUGAAGGAGGAGCUUGCUUCUCUGGAUGAGUUGCGAACGGGUGAGUAACGCGUAGGUAACCUGCCUGGUAGCGGGGGAUAACUAUUGGAAACGAUAGCUAAUACCGCAUAAGAGUAGAUGUUGCAUGACAUUUGCUUAAAAGGUGCAAUUGCAUCACUACCAGAUGGACCUGCGUUGUAUUAGCUAGUUGGUGGGGUAACGGCUUACCAAGGCGACGAUACAUAGCCGACCUGAGAGGGUGAUCGGCCACACUGGGACUGAGACACGGCCCAGACUCCUACGGGAGGCAGCAGUAGGGAACCUUCGGCAAUGGCCGGAAGUCUGACCGAGCAACGCCGCGUGAGUGAAGAAGGUUUUCGGAUCGUAAAGCUCUGUUGUAAGAGAAGAACGAGUGUGAGAGUGGAAAGUUCACACUGUGACGGUAGCUUACCAGAAAGGGACGGCUAACUACGUG